rnacentral:rRNA from 1 species
CCUACGGGAGACAGCAGUCGAGAAUCAUUCACAAUGGGGGAAACCCUGAUGGUGCGACGCCGCGUGGGGGAAUGAAGGUCUUCGGAUUGUAAACCCCUGUCAUGUGGGAGCAAAUUAAAAAGAUAGUACCACAAGAGGAAGAGACGGCUAACUCUGUGCCAGCAGCCGCGGUAAUACAGAGGGCUUAAGCGUUGUUCGGGAUCACUGGGCGUAAAGCGUGCGUAGGCUGUUUCGAAAGUCGUGUGUGAAAGGCGCGGGCUCAACCCGCGGAGGGCAGAUGAAACUGCGGGACUAGAGUAAUCGAGGGGGAACCGGAAUUCGCGGUGUAGCAGUGAAAUGCGUAGAUAUCGAGAAGAACACUCGUGGCGAAGGCGGGUUCCUGGACAUUAACUGACGCUGAGGCACGAAGGCCAGGGGAGCGAAAGGGAUUAGAUACCCUGGUAGUC